AGCAGUCGAGGGGUAACAGAGGAGCUUGCUCUUGCUGACGACCGGCGCACGGGUGCGUAACGCGUAUACAAUCUGCCUUACACUAAGGGAUAGCCCAGAGAAAUUUGGAUUAACACCUUAUAGUUUAUUUUUAUGGCAUCAUUUAAAUAAUAAAGUUUACGGUGUAAGAUGAGUAUGCGUCCCAUUAGUUUGUUGGUAAGGUAACGGCUUACCAAGACUACGAUGGGUAGGGGCCCUGAGAGGGGGAUCCCCCACACUGGUACUGAGACACGGACCAGACUCCUACGGGAGGCAGCAGUGAGGAAUAUUGGACAAUGGAGGGGACUCUGAUCCAGCCAUGCCGCGUGCAGGAAGACGGUCCUAUGGAUUGUAAACUGCUUUUAUACAGGAAGAAUAAGGACUACGUGUAGUCUGGUGACGGUACUGUAAGAAUAAGGACCGGCUAACUCCGUGCCAGCAGCCGCGGUAAUACGGAGGGUCCGAGCGUUAUCCGGAAUUAUUGGGUUUAAAGGGUCCGUAGGCGGGCUGUUAAGUCAGGGGUGAAAGUUUGCAGCUCAACUGUAGAAUUGCCUUUGAUACUGAUGGUCUUGAAUUAUUGUGAAGUGGUUAGAAUAUGUAGUGUAGCGGUGAAAUGCAUAGAUAUUACAUAGAAUACCGAUUGCGAAGGCAGAUCACUAACAAUUGAUUGACGCUGAUGGACGAAAGCGUGGGUAGCGAACAGGAUUAGAUACCCUGGUAGUCCACGCCGUAAACGAUGGAUACUAGCUGUUUGGAUU
rnacentral:rRNA from 1 species